CAAGCCUUGUGGUAUCAUGAUCAACCCAUUUGUGAGACUUUUAGGAAAACCCUGUUUUUGUUGUGGCUUUUGUCUGCUUCUUGUCCAGGUUCACCUGUUUGUUCCUGCCAGUCAGCUCUGCUCGGUUAAAGAUCUGCUAAUCGCCUGCUUCCUUGUGAAACUCACCAUUUGCCAGCUCAGAUAUUUAUUCCAGGAUUUGGUUUGUCUUAGUGACAUCUACCAGCUGAUGGAUUUGGCAUGACAGCUACAGCCUGAGAAAGUUUGUCUUUCAGGUUUGAGUUGAGUGGACCGAGGUUCUCAGUGAGGAUGUGUUUCUCCAAUGUUUUCCAAGUCAUCCUCUUGCAUCAUCCUUAUUAUGCUCUCCUCUGGCAAAGCUAUGGUAUGACUGUGCAGUGACAAACUACGUGUCUGGUGUACGAGGAGGUUAAAUGGCUUGCCUCUGAGACAAAGAGUUCAUCAUUGCAUCUGCUUUAUAAUGAAGACUAAUAUUGGAAGCUGUUCUUUCUGGAAAGCCGCCAGUCGCAACUCAACACGGGAAAGAUGGAGAGGAGAACAAAGUAAACAGGGCACAUACACUGGAGAGUCAACAAUGAUUUUGUUCCUCCUUAGCAACACAUCUUGCACCUUUAAUUGGUGCAUUGGAGCAUCCUCUUUUCUCUCCCCUCAUCACCUGAUAAUGUCACUGUGACAGUUUGCUGUUUGAUUUCUAUGAAUUGCUUUCACAAUGAUUGACAUUUUGACAGGCCCUGUAAUUGGCUGCCUGGUCUUCUCAGUCACCAAGUAAAUAAUAGGGAUGGCGAUGAGAGACUGGGGUCUUUCAUGUCUAUUCAUUAUGGGAACAUGUAGAUUUUUUUUAUUAAGAAACUGUCUUUAUUAAGCAUCAUUUAGUUUUAUUCUUUGACUAUUACACCAGUUUCUUGGGUUCCCAAAUGGCAGCGGUUUGUUUUCCAGUGACCUUUUGUCACAAGUACAACCAACAACAAUGUUUAGUACAAGCCACAGUGUAACUGGUACAUCACGGCACUGAAUCGGACAAAAAUCCCAGAAAAAGAAGCAGACAGUCAUACAACACUGUGCUCUGCAUUGUGUGACAAGGUGAUACAUUUAGCUAACUUAUUAUAAUAAUAUUUUAAUGAAACAUGCUAUGGAUUGUGGUAUAUGCUGCUUCGGUAACAGCUGAUGUUGCUACACAACACUCACUAAAUGCUGCUAUUCAAAGAAUCAUGCUCUCACAAGAUUUACAGGUUGUCACAAGUGAUUUCAAGCCAGACACCUUCUGCCAAAUGGUUGAGACCCAAAAGGAUCCAACAUUUAAAAAAAAAAAAAGAUAAGAGCAGCAAAGAGUACAGGCAGCAGGCAGCAUCUUUUCAGAGAAUGACACACUGACAUACAUGAAUUCCAGUGUUCCAUAUGUAAUGAUUGAACUUUAUGGAUACGUUUAUGCUUCCAAAGGGGUCAUUCCUGCCUUAAAGAUAUGUCUUUGAAACAUUUAUUUUUUAGAACAUUCUUAUUAUUGUAAGGUAAAAUGCACUUUAAGUGCAUGAUUAAUCAAAAGCCAAAUGUUUCCUCCAAGGCCACUAAACAGUAUUGGAAGCAGCACAGGAAGUAUACGGAUGAUAUAGAAUAUUAAUAAUGGGUUGGGAUGAAAGUAUGAGAAGCGGAUCCAAUUUCAUGGAUGUAUCACUCUAAAAAUGCUGGGGCAUGUCUGGCUGAUCAUUCUCUAUUAUUGAACUACUUUUGAGCCGAAGAAAAACGACUGUAUUUCUAAUAAACUCAAAUAUGGAUUA